UUUUAGUAGAUAGACUUAGAAACAAUAUUAGAGGUUGCAUUUUGAUGAUCCGGAGCUGAAUCUGCAUCAAUCGGAUUGACAAACCGAGAGAUUCCUCUUCAUCUUCAUUCUUCUCUUUUUACCCUUUAUUGUUGAGGUUUUGUAUGAUCAAGUGUCAGGGAAAGUGAUCGCAAAGGGACCUAAAUGGUUGUUUCCGCUCCAGUUUCAUUCCUCUAAUUUUUCUCUUGCUUGUAUUGAUGUCUCACAUUUGUUUGCAGAUUUGCAUAAUAAAUUAGGACAUACAAACUCUGUUGUUUUGUCUCACUUAAUAAAAAGAGGUUUAUUGGGCACCAAGAA